GGGUUAGUAGGUUGGUCAUGCCUCUGGUAUGUACUGGUCUCACUGAUUCCUCCUUCCUGAUGAACCUUAAUGCCAUUAAUUUGGUGUUUUGGGGAAUUUGGACUGUUACUUUGAAAAAAUUAGAGUGUUUAAAGCAAGCUAACGCUUGAAUACAUUAGCAUGGAAUAAUGGAAUAGGACUUUGGUUUCUAGGGACGCCGUA
rnacentral:rRNA from 1 species